UGCGUAGGCGGCUUGGUAGGUCUGGUGUGAAAGCCCCGGGCUCAGCCCGGGAAGGGCACUAGAAACUGCCAAGCUAGAGUGCCGGAGGGGAGAGUGGAAUUCCUGGUGUAGCGGUGAAAUGCGUAGAUAUCAGGAGGAAUACCGGUGGCGAAAGCGACUCUCUGGACGGCAACUGACGCUGAGGCACGAAAGCGUGGGGAGCAAACA
rnacentral:rRNA from 1 species